rnacentral:rRNA from 1 species
GAUGUCAGUUUGGGUAAGUGGCAUGGAAAUGUCUACCGCGGAGGGUGAAAGUCCCGUCCAGCCCAUUCAGGACAUUUCGCACGAAGUUGCUCAUAUGAGUCGCGUAGCUUGUGAAUGCUGCGCUAAGUCGGUGGUAAAUCUCAUCGAAGGCUAAAUACUGGUAGGAGACCGAUAGUGAACAAGUACCGUGAGGGAAAGAUCAAAAGCACUUUGAAAAGAGGGUGAAAAGAACCUGAAACCGUUACGACAGAAGCGUAUUGCGUUGAAUUGAGGGCUGUUUAACUCUUCAGCUGAACGUGAGUUUAGUGUACUGAGUUAAGUAGUUAUCCGUCGUGCCUUUUCUGUGGCUGAUAUUGAGCCGCGGGAGAGGGAGGGAUCCCCUUUAUGGGUGAGGACGAUGGAGUGGCAACGCGAUGCGACCCGUCUUGAAACACGGACCAAGGAGUCUAACAUGUUUGCGAGUUGAAGGGUAGUAAACCUGGAGGCGCAGUGAAAGCGAACUUCUAAAACGGACAGUUUGUGGCGGCAUAAAAUCGUUGAUUUUAGGUCUGACUAAGAGCAAAUAUGUUAGGACCCGAAAGAUGGUGAACUAUGCUUGAGUAGGCCGAAGGCAGAAGAAAUUCUGCUGGAGGGCCGAAGCGGUGCUGACGUGCAAAUCGCUCGUCGAACUCGAGUAUAGGGGCGAAAGACUAAUCGAACCAUCUAGUAGCUGGUUCCCUCCGAAGUUUCUCUCAGGAUAGCGGGCCGACAAUUAUUGUUUUGUGCGGUAAAGCGAAUGAUUAGCGCACUCGGGGGCAUUCAGUCUUCGGUCGAUUCUCAAACUUUUAAUGCGCAAGGGGGCUGCAGCUUAGGUGUGCGGCUCCUCUAAAAAUGUCGGCCUUGUGGGCCACUUUUGGUAAGCAGAACUGGCGAUGUGGGAUGAACCAUACGCGUGGUUAAGGCGCCA